rnacentral:rRNA from 1 species
GACGAACGCUGGCGGCGUGCUUAACACAUGCAAGUCGAACGGAAAGGCCCUGCUUUUGUGGGGUGCUCGAGUGGCGAACGGGUGAGUAACACGUGAGUAACCUGCCCUUGACUUUGGGAUAACUUCCGGAAACUGGGGCUAAUACCUGAUCGGAGCUCCUGCUGCAUGGUGGGGGUUGGAAAGUUUCGGCGGUUGGGGAUGGACUCGCGGCUUAUCAGCUUGUUGGUGGGGUAGUGGCUUACCAAGGCCUUGACGGGUAGCCGGCCUGAGAGGGUGACCGGCCACAUUGGGACUGAGAUACGGCCCAGACUCCUACGGGAGGCAGCAGUGGGGAAUAUUGCACAAUGGGCGGAAGCCUGAUGCAGCAACGCCGCGUGCGGGAUGACGGCCUUCGGGUUGUAAACCGCUUUCGCCUGUGACGAAGCGUGAGUGACGGUAAUGGGUAAAGAAGCACCGGCUAACUACGUG